AUUGAACGCUGGCGGCAGGCCUAACACAUGCAAGUCGAGCGGAUGACGGGAGCUUGCUCCCGGAUUCAGCGGCGGACGGGUGAGUAAUGCCUAGGAAUCUGCCUGGUAGUGGGGGACAACGUUUCGAAAGGAACGCUAAUACCGCAUACGUCCUACGGGAGAAAGCAGGGGACCUUCGGGCCUUGCGCUAUCAGAUGAGCCUAGGUCGGAUUAGCUAGUUGGUGAGGUAAUGGCUCACCAAGGCGACGAUCCGUAACUGGUCUGAGAGGAUGGGCAGUCACACUGGAACUGAGACACGGUCCAGACUCCUACGGGAGGCAGCAGUGGGGAAUAUUGGACAAUGGGCGAAAGCCUGAUCCAGCCAUGCCGCGUGUGUGAAGAAGGUCUUCGGAUUGUAAAGCACUUUAAGUUGGGAGGAAGGGUAGUAAGCGAAUACCUUGCUGUUUUGACGUUACCGACAGAAUAAGCACCGGCUAACUCUGUGCCAGCCGCCGCCGUAAGAC
rnacentral:rRNA from 1 species